rnacentral:lncRNA from 1 species
ACGGAAGUUCACAUGCACAAGCAUCCUAAGCAAGGAGCGACUGUUCGGGCAUAUGUAUGUACUGUUCGGGCGUAUGUAGAAAUGUGUGUGUGCAGAAAGGAAGUAGGAAGGGGUGGGCCAGACUGAAAAUACUGAUGGUCCACAUAGAACACUUUGAAUGGCAGAGUAAGACUGAUCAGACAACUCAAAGAAAUAUAUUACAUAUGCAACAUGCUUUUGUAGACUAUAAUAAUAAUAAUAUUUAUGAAAAUAAUGCCAACCAUUUACUCCAUUGCUUGGCUUCUACUGGUCUACAGACUGUAUCGAUUGACAUUGGUGUUAUGUUUAUAAAAAGAUAAAGAGAAGGGGGGUAUGUUCUAUGGAGGUGUAGUCAGGUAUGGGGGAAGGGGGCUCCUUGGUGGGCCCAUGCUGGGGGCCCAUCCCUUCCCCCUGAGGGACCAGCCACAUGAUGGUAUAGUAUAGAAUGGAGUUUAUUUAGGACAUAGGGAGGGGAGUUAAGAGGGUAGUAGAGGCAGAGAAAGGCAGGAGGGGGAGGGGAGGGACUUCUCUGAGAACUGGAACAGAGCCAGAAAGCUCCAACCAGAGUGUUAGAAACAUCUAUAACUACUCUGGAACCUUCCAGCUAGAAGACAAGCUUUGAAGACAAUGUGCCCCCACCUGGAGGAUUGGGUGACUGAGAUAUUGAUCUAAGAAGUUUAUGUGCACAAAAUGGAUUUCCUAUUACCUUAAAUAAUGGCAACUGUGUUUUUCAGCUGUUUCUAAUACUGUUAGGAGGUCUUUGUUGGAUAUACUGUUUAUAGUCCAUGAAAGCUUUAUUGCAAUUCAAUAUCUGACUUAUUAGAGAAACUAGGUAACACAAGCAAGUCCCCUUCUAGCCACCUGACAAAUGAAUUGACAAUGUAACGAUUUGCAUAGCACUGAGAACAGGUGACCUCAAGCUCAGAGGUCUGUCUGCUUUUGCCUCCUGAGUGAGUGCAGGGAUUAAAGAGGAGCAGGGCAGCAUUCAGCUGAGAAUAGAGCUAGGAAGGACUCAGGGACUAUGGGAGGUGAAGAAAG